GUUAUGGGGACCAGCGAUCUCCCCACGAGGCGGCAAGCCCAAGCAUCGCGUUCCCUUUCUUCAAGGAGGACGCGCACG
rfam:Proteobacteria bacterium SG_bin9 7969, whole genome shotgun sequence.